UUCGCAAUGCCCGAAAGGGUGACGAAGCGACGCCGCGUGAGCGAAGAAGGCCCUAGGGUUGUAAAGCUCUGUCGGGGGUUAAGAAAUAUAAGUGUGUUAAUACCGCAUUUAUUUGACGAAGGCUCCAAAGGAAGCCACGGCUAACUCUGUGCCAGCAGCCGCGGUAAUACAGAGGUGGCAAGCGUUGUUCGGAAUUAUUGGGCGUAAAGAGCACGUAGGUGGGUUUGUAAGUCAGAUGUGAAAGCCUUCUGUUCAACGGGAGAAUUGCAUCUGAAACUGCAAGUCUUGAGUAUAGGAGGGGAGAAUGGAACUUCUGGUGGAGCGGUGAGAUGCGUAGAUAUCAGAAGGAACGCCGGCGGCGAAAGCGAUUCUCUGGCCUAUUACUGACACUCAGUGUGUGAAAGCUAGGGGAGCAAACGGGAUUAGAUACCCCGGUAGUCCUAGCCGUAAACGAUGGGCACUAAGUAGAGGGGUUUU
rnacentral:rRNA from 1 species